AUAUGAGAAAAACAAUUUGUUUGUGGUUUUUUUCCAUCUGGAUUUUAGGUGCUAAUUUGGCUGAUUAGUGGAUUUAUGCAUAUGAAAAUGUUUAAUUUACAGGUUGUUUUAUUUUGUGUGGAUCUUCUUAGAAUGUUUAAUUGUGUAGGCUAUUGAUCUUGCUAUCCACUUUCAAGGAAUAUUUCACAAGGUAUUUUCAUGCCUCUUUUUUUUUUAUUAAACAGUGUUCUGGUUCUUAGUUGUUUCAUUCUUUCUUACAAGCUAUUUUCUACUAAAUUUUUUAGAAUAUGUUUGUUGUUGUUGAAAGAGCUUAAGUUAAGUUAAUCAAUGCUUAUUCUUUGUUUGCAUGAUAGCUUGAGAUUAGGGUGUUGUUUUGCUCUGUUGGAAAAUAUAUGCUUGCUGAUAUGUGUGUUUUUUUAAAAAAAAAAGGUCUUGCUUGAACUCAUGCUUAGUGAUAUGUGUUUAAAAAAAGAGUUGAUUGAACUCAUGUUAGAGGUUAUUUAAAGAGAUGCAUUCCGAAAUGAAAUAUGCUUAAGAAUAAAAAAUAAUAAUAUAUUGCAGAUUUUUCCAUUUGGGUGUUAAUUUCUAGCUUAACUGAUGAAAUAAUUUAGGCAAUCAAUUUUAUUACUUCUAUGCUUCAAAAUGAAGAAUUAAAUUGUUUAUUGAUUUGACAUGGUAAUUUAAGGUGUUGUAUGUUGAAUUAAGAAUUUUUGACAAGUUGUUUUAUAUUUCGUUGGCCUAUGAAUUAAAUUAUAUAUAGUUAGCAAUUAAAUUACGACUUUAAAUUUCAGUGUGUAUGAUUUCUGCCUGAAAUGGUUUAAAACUUUACGCUUAGCCAUUAUUGUUUUAUUGGGUUCUAUUUUCUCUCCACAAAUAUACAUUGCUCAUUUCAAGACCUUUCAAUUCAAUUACAUAUGAUUGCUGGCUACUUUUUUUUUCAACAAAACUUGCAUAGAGAAAAUUCUGUUUCUGAGAAUGUAUUGUUAAUUGCCAUGACUUUAAUUAAUUUUGGUUGCAUGUAAUUGUAAUGUGUGAGUUGUAUUGUGUUAUCUCAUUCCUUUGUAGCAUGAUCAGCAUAAUACAUACGUUAUCUAAUAACAUUUCUUUGCUGCACUAUGUUCACACAAAGCCUUGGGUUACUUCAUUGUUGUUAAACUUCACGUUGUUUUGUUCCCUUUUAAAAAAAUUGUUAUUUGAGAUGAGGCAUUUGAAGUUGACUGGUGCUUCGGAUAUGAGAAAAACAAUUUGUUUGUGGUUUUUUUCCAUCUUGAUUUUGGGUGCUAAUUUGGGUGAUUAGUGGAUUUAUGCAUUUGAAAAUGUUUGUUUUACAGGUUGCUUUAUUUUGUGUGGAC
rnacentral:lncRNA from 1 species